AGGACGAACGCUGGCGGCGUGCCUAACACAUGCAAGUCGAGCGGGACAUACGACGGAGAGGAAGUUUCGGAUGGAAUCAAAGAUGUAUGUUCUAGCGGCGGACGGGUGAGUAACGCGUGAGCAACCUGUCCUUCACAGGGGGAUAACACAGCGAAAGUUGUACUAAUACCGCAUAAGACCACGGCAGGGCAUCCUGGUGAGGUCAAAGGAGCAAUCCGGUGAAGGGUGGGCUCGCGUCCGAUUAGAUAGUUGGUGAGGUAACGGCCCACCAAGUCAACGAUCGGUAGCCGACCUGAGAGGGUGAUCGGCCACAUUGGGACUGAGACACGGCCCAAACUCCUACGGGAGGCAGCAGUGGGGAAUAUUGGGCAAUUGGGGGGAAACCCUGACCCAGCAACGCCGCGUGAGGGAAGAAGGUUUUCGGAUCGUAAACCUCUGUCCUUGGUGAAGAGGAAGAGACGGUAGCCAAGGAGGAAGCCCCGGCUAACUACGUGCCAGCAGCCGC
rnacentral:rRNA from 1 species